rnacentral:tRNA from 1 species
GGGCCUUUAGCUUAACAGGUAGAGUACUUAAUUGUCAAUUAGGUUGGUCCCAGUUCGAAUCUGGAAGGGCUCG